rnacentral:sRNA from 1 species
GAAGCAAGCACCAAAGAAAUGGCAUGAGAAGUUUGACUUAGCAAUAAUAUCAUUCGGGUUUAAAUAUAAUAGCGUUGAUAAAUGUUUAUAUUCUAAAGUUAGUGAUGAUUAUGUGACAUUUAUAUGCUUGUAUGUUGACGACAUGUUGAUUAUAAGUAAUUACAUGGACGGAGUAGAAGAAAUAAAGAGGUUUCUUUCUUCCACAUUCAAGAUAAGGCACUUGGACAAGUGGAUACCAUUUUAGGUAUCAAAGUCAUAAAGACUAGUGAGGGUUACUAUCUAAGUCAAUCACAUUAUAUUGAGAAUGUAAUAAAUAAGUUCAAACAUUUGAACAUAAAAGAAUGUAGUACCCCGAUUGAUCCAAGUUCAAAACUAAUAAAGAAUGAUGGAAGGGCGAUUGCUCAAUUGGAAUAUGCAAGUGCUAUAAGGAGUCUUAUGUAUGUUGUUCAAUGCACAAGAUCAGAUAUAGCUUAUGCAAUAAGUAAACUUAGUAGGUUUACUAGCAAUCUGAGUAAUGAUCAUUGGAAAGCUAUUGUAAGAGUUCAUGGAUACUCAAAGAAAACUAAGAACUUGGGCCUACAAUAUACUAAAUUCCCGGCGAUAUUGGAAGGAUUUACCGAUGCUAGUUAGAUAUCUAGCACGGGUGAAAGUAAAUCCACUUCGGGUUGGUUAUUCACUCUUGGAGGAGGUGCUGUUUCUUGAAAAUCAAAUAAAUAAACAUGUAUAACACACUAACCAUGGAAAUUAAAUUUGUAGCUUUAUCGGAUACCAGAAAAGAGGUUGAGUGGCUUAAGGAUCUCUUAUAUGAGAUACCUUUGGGAUCGAAGAAUAUCUCUUCAAUACCUAUCAUGUGUGAUAGUCAAGUCACGUUAGCAAAGGCCUAUAACAAGGUAUACAAUAGAAAGUCUAGACAUAUGAGUCUGAGACAUGACUACAUAAGGAAAUUAAUCAAAGAUGGAAUAAUUUUCCUAAACUAUGUAAGGUCAAUUGAGAAUUUAGCGGAUCCUUUAACUAAAGCACUAAAUAGAGAUUUAGUGACAUCUACUUCGAGUAGGAUGGGGUUGAAACUUCUUAACUAAAAAGGUCCACCAAUGACAGCAACCCUACCUAUCAUUAAUCAAAAAGUAAUCAACGGGUUCAAAGGGUAACAACAAGUCAUUCGAUAUGUGGAUAGUUGCAGCAUUAUUCAAAUCCGCAAUGACCCUAUCCUAAUUAAAUAAUACUGGUUGUUAUUGAAGUGAGAGUUUUGAGCUUAAAGCUCUUAAUAAAAUUCAGUGCUAAAACACAAGUACCUCUAAAAGUAACAAAGGUACCGGAAGAACUUCACCUAGACUAACUUCGAGGUGGUGCCGCCUCAAUAGAAAGUUCGAGUUUCUCUCUUAAAAGUUUGUCGAAUAGGAUGAACGCAAGGCCAUAAAAGCGCUAAGUGAGUUGAGGAACUUAAGAAUACGUGAUACUUAUGUGUGUAUUUUUACCAGUAUUGUCACAAGAAAUAAUUGGUUCAAAGCUUCCAUGCUACCUCUAAUUCCGAUUUUACUUUGUUUGAAUUACACUAUGGUUAGAUUCAAAUCGAAAAAUAUCUAAUCCUUAUGCAUACGUGUCGUCUUUUUGAAUAUGUGAUCUUAUUGAUUUUGAACAAGUGGGGAAUUGUUGAAUAUUUGUUCCAAAUCAAUGGAAUGAUAAUGGACUAAUUGUUGGACUCAAUCGUGAUGUAUUGAUUGAGGCCUAUAAAUAGGUGAUGAAUGAUCAAUACAAACAUAAUUACAAACAAGAUAUACAUACAUUGUUCCACAAUUAAUCAAAUUCAUGUUAUAACUCAUAUUCAUUUCUUCUUUAUUGUGUUCAUCAAGUUUUGGUAGAAAAUUUCUCGUGCGUUGUUAUUUUCUGCAUCAAGACUUGUUAAAAUCUUUCAAACCAUUUGCCAUAACACCCUUAAACAUCUGGAGAGGGGGCAAAUAUAGUUUGAGGACGACGAUCCCGUGUUCAAACCUCAAAUUCAUUCUUGACGUAUUUCGUGAUUUUUAUUCAUUUUGUUUCCAUAAUUUUGUUGUUGUUUCUUCUCCAACCCCUUAUUUUCCAACAAUAUUUGCAUACACAAAAAGGAAAAAAAAUUAAAAAUUAAGCAUAACGAUGAAAAGUACGUAAACUAAGAAUUGCUCAGGCCUUGUUAAGCCAAAAUAAUUUUAAGCAUUUGAGGCCUAGCUUGAUACACAUGCAAAAGGAUUGUGUUGACUCAUGCAUAGCCAUGCACAGGAAACUUCAAGGUUGUAGUGACUUGGUAACUAGCAAGGUCUCUUGAUGCAUCUAAAUAUUAUAUCGUCGAUAAUAGUUCAUACUACGAUGGCGCCGUGAGUCAACCAACUAGAGAGCCGACAAUGCCUCUUGGUGCAUCUAGGUAGCAUGUCGUUAAAAAGAUUGUGAUGGCAAUGUGGGCACUCCAACUAGAAAUGCAUGCAUCCCUACAAAUUUUCUAUUUGACUUGAGAUCCAAAUAAUAUGAGAGUGUAUUUAGCAUACAUGAUUAACCAAAUUUUAAUCUAUUUGUCUUCUUUAUCCUAUGUUUGGUCUCCCCCCUUGCCAAUAAGCUAUUUUUUUCUACAAUGAUAUGGAGCGAAUUUGUUUUUUAAUGAUAUUUUGUAGGCUCAUUACAACAGCAAAGAAUGUAAGCGCCUGUCUAGGAGCCAUUUUUAGAGAAUUUUAAUUCAAUAUAUAGCCGUUAUAGAGUACAUGGAUUUCGAGUGUUGCAAUAAUUGAUUGGAGCUGUAGAAGGAUAUUACAAAAAAGCCCUUUGUACUAUGGUAUCAAAUGGGGGCGGUAAUUUUAUAGAGGGGCUUGAAGUGAUAUCACAGAUAUAGAUUGGAGAAAAAUGCAGUCAAUUCAUGUUAGGUUGUAUGAUGAAAGUUAUUAUAUAACGGUUGCAUUUUAAAUUUUGAUAAAAAUUGCUCCCAGACAAGCUUUAAAUUUUCCAUCAAUUUAUGGCCUUUUUUACUGUAAAGUUAAAUUUAUCCUUGACUGAAUUUCAAUUGUGAGGAAGACUAACACAAUGACAUCUCAUAGAACUUGUGAAUUUAUUGAGCGGUGCAUUUGGAUCUUUAGACAUGCUUGUUAAGAAAUAUAUGUUACUUGAAAAAAUAGUAUAGAACCAUAGUUAGCCUAUACAAACAGUUGUUUCUAAUAGAUCUCAAUUUUUUAUUUGGAAAUUUCAAAAUCAAAUUUAUUAGAUUUUGCUAAAGAUAAAUAGAUAGACCAAACACGAGCUUAAUCUUAUUCAUUGUUUGAUCCACUUAUUACAAACGCCAUAAAGAUUCUCACACUAUAUGUAGUAGGAGACCGAUGAAUGGUCCACUUCAACAUUGAUAGAAUGAAUCAUGUCAGGAUAACCUGUUAUGAUCCAAACCAGGUCUGAAAUUACUUUAUUAAAAGCAGAAUAGCUCUGAUACGACUUGUUAUGAAAUGAAGAGAUUAUAUGACACAAUAUAAAGUAUUGAUCACACAAGCAAAAAUAAGAUUAAAGCAAGAAGAGAUAUUGGUAGAGGAAACGAGUAUUUUUAUUAAUUAACAACCAAUGAAGAGAAAAAUACAAUUUCAGCAAUCUUCGCAAUAUCUAAACUGAAUGAAGAGUCUACUACUUAUUAUAGGGGACAUGUCAAAACCUUAUAAUUAACCUAAAAGAUAGAAACUAGGUCAAAAUACGCGUUAAACUGACAUAAAGCAAAAAACCUAGAUGGUAUCACUCGAGCACCGUCUAAUUGCAGGCGAGCGACAGUCCUAUCGCUCGAGCAAGAGCUCGACGAUAGGCAGGUGACAACUAUCUACUUUAAAAAGUUCUUUUUUGCUCGAGCGGUCAGCUAGCGAAAAUUCGACAACUUUUCUUCUCGAUCCAUAAUUUCGAUCUCUUCAUGACCACUUCAACUAGGAAUUCAAUGCCUACUAGAAUUUGGGAUACAUAACAACAAAUCUCCAAAAUUUCUCCACCUAAAAAAAUAAGUUCGACUGCAACGAAAUAGACUAAACUUUUUAACCAGAACCAAACUUCUUCAACUUAUGAAAAUUACUCUUCAUCUUCCAUAGUAUCCACAAAUAAUACCAAACCCAAACACUAGGUUCCCAAAAUUCCCACAAGGAAUGCAAGAUUUACCAAAUAGGUCAAAACACACUUUGUAGCAGAUUGGCUCCAAAGGCUUUAACUAAAGACCCCUUACUAAUCUCAACACCUUUAAAUCACAAAAAAACAUAUGCAACUAGAUCAACAUACUCGCACCCAUCCUCAAUGGGUCUUUCCCUAGCAAUUGAGCAUGAUGCCACCGCAAACAAUGGUGACAGAGCGGAAUUACCCAUAUCCUCCAAACUCAUCAAGUAAUGUUCUUCAAUAAUGACCCAGAGUCAACUCCCAAAGGUACUCUACCAAACUUCACCAUGGUACAAAAUCUGUGCCGAUAAUUCUUCACUGAUUCUGCGCAACGUUGCAAGAUGUACAACUGGGACUUCUUUCACCAUUCCAAUACUACACGGACACCCUUUUAAACCUUCAAGACUCCACCUCCUUCAGAAAACUCAUAACCUUUCAAAUCAAGGGUAGUGAGAUGAGAUUAUUCUUCAAAUUUAGAACAUGUCGAACCUAACCAAGUGUUUUAAUUAUUCCAUCCAACAACUUCAAUUUGACCCCAUCAAUAUCAGCAAUCCAAUAAGAUCUAUUGUUGCCCAUGACAACAACACCUUACAUCAAUAUUUCAUAUGUUUCAAACAAAUCUCGAUUAGGACACAUAUGGAACACAGAAGCUGUAUCAAAAAAUCACUCCUCAUUAGGUUUGGAUUCCACGUCAGAAGUCGCCAAGAGAUCUCCAUCACUCAAAUAGUCCUCUAUUAUGUUGGCCUUAUUCGAAGUAUUUGAUUGUUUCCAUAACUUGUAGUUGAAUUAUACCUACUCUACAAUUUCUCGCAAUCUCUCUUGAUGUGUUCUUUCUUCUUACAAUAAAAACAAACCAAAUUGUUGUAACUCGACUUCGAUUUACCUUUUUAAGGAUCACCAUAAAUUACAAGAGCUUCUUCACCUCUGGACUUUCUCCAACCAAAUGCUUCAUUUUCUCCUUAGAGAACAAGGCAUCAUACACGUCUUCGAUGGUAAGUAUGUCACGACUGUAUAAAUUGUGUCCUUGAAUGAUGAAAACAAAGCAGAAAGUGAGCACAACAGGAUCAAGGUCAAAUCACCUUCAUCAUAUUUUACCUCUAACAUAUUCAAAUCAGCGACGAUUUCCUUGAAUACGACUAGAUGUUCUUCCAAAGAUCCUCAUUUUGCCAUUCGAUAAGAAGAUAACCUCUUCUUCAGUUGCAACGUACUUGUCAGACUUCUAGUCAUGCACAAUUAUGAAAACCCAAGAAUGACUAACCAAGAGGGGUGAAUUUGUUAUUAAAAUCUUUUUCAAAAAUAAAUGCUAGUUUAAUCAAUUUACAAAUAAGAUAAUGAGCAAAUAAGAUAACUUGAAAAAUAAUCAAGAGAAAGAGAAAGAAGAUGCAAACGAUAUGUCAUUGAUGUUUGAUCCAAUCAACGAUCUACGUCCCUAGUUACCAAGCUCUCCGUCACGAGCAAGACCUUUUUCCCCUAAAUAUGAUUGACUUAUAUGGCAAUCCAAUGUUUACAACGCUUUCGGUGACUUACAACCAAGGAGCACCAAUCUCUUUAUACUGUUGAGCUUUCUGAGACCUCAAUCGACCCACAAUCCAAAAACAAAAAUGAAAUUACAAUUAAAAGUUUCUCUCUUAAUUAAUGAUAUGAACUUAAUUAAGAAUCAAGAGAGAAAUAGGUACAACACUUCAAUAAUUCACAAAAAAUAUAGCUCAAGUGUUGUAUAAGAAAAACUUUAAUUGAGAUAUAUAAUUUUUACAAAUUUUUGGUCACUCAAAAAGUUUUUCAAAAGUUAAAUAAUUUGAUCUUUUAAGAAUUCAAAACUAAGAUAGAAAGAUCAAUAAAUGCUUCACCUUAAUGCUCAAGAAUUGAAUGUUGAUUGUGGUAUAAAGUGGGGUAUUUUUACCAUCAAACGGUCAAAAAUUCUGUCAAUUCGGACGUUCGCUUGGAAUCUAGACGGGUAACUAGCUGUUUGAGAAAUGGUCACUUAAAUGACCAUUGGUGAGGUCAUUUGGACGUUCGGAUGGCGAAAAAAUGCCCCUCUGAACUUUCUCCUUUGUGAUGAAAUUUUUCAUGCAGGUACUUAAAAGAUUUUCUCAUAUAUUGUAUAGAUAAGUUUUUUGUAAAUAUAUAAUCUUGAAAAUUGAGAUACUUGUCUUUUGAAAAUAUUUUUUAUACAAGUAUUGUUUGUUGUGAAAGAGUCUUGUGCAUAAAAAUUGUUUGAAUUAUAAUCGAUACGAAAUAUUAAAGUGUUUUACCUUUACAUUUGAGUACAAAAAACGCAUCUAUAGCAAAAGUCUUCUAUCUCUUCUUCCAAUGUGAUUUUUUAUGCGAAAGCUCGAUUUUUAUUUCCACGCUAGUCAAUUUGAUCGUUAAGCUCCAAAAAGUUCGUCCAUGUCCGUGGUUCUUGAUCUUGAUUCUCGUGUCUUCAUCCCUUGUUAGUUUUGCGACGAACACUAUCAAUACUUAAUCCAAUUCGUUAGAGUUAAAUGUAAUUUGUUUGUGAUAAUCAAAUCGAGAAGUCAAUCAUUAGGUCAACAAAUUACUCCAACUUUAACCACGAUGCUGCAGCUGUCUUUUUUCUUCAAAUCGUCCUAAAGAAUGUUGUUAAAUAAAUGAAGAUGAAUAUGCAAAAGUGCUUUUCAAUCCUUCCGUUGCUUCUUCUUUAUUGUUCAAGUUGUGGGCAUCUUGUCAAAUUCUAACAAUACAUCAUCCAAAUCCAUCUACGUUAAUAUAGCUCGCAUCUUCACUUUCCACAACGAAAAUCUUGUAUUGCAAUCUAAAAGCAGAAUUUCAUACUUCAUGGUUGCCAUCAAUAACAGAAACCUUAAACAAAAUCACAAGCUUACUCUGAUACAACUUGUUAUGAUCAGAACCAGAUCUGAAACUACUAUAUUGAAAGCAAAACAACUUUGACACCACUUGUUACGAAAUGGAGAGGUUAUAUGACACAAAAUAAAGUAUUGAUCGCACAAACAAGAACAAGAUUAAAGCAAGAAGAGAGAUUGAUAGAGGAAUCUAGUAAUUUUAUUAAUUGACAACCAAUAAAUUCAACAGUCUCUAUAAUAACUAAAUUGAAUGGAAAGUCUACUAUUUAUAGAGUACAUGUCAAAACCUAAAAGUAACCUAAAAGAUGGAAACUAGUUCAAAAUACGCUUAAAAUUGACAUAAAGUGAAAAAUCUAAAUGGUGCUGUCGCUUGAUCGAAGUCUAGUUGUAGGUUAGCGAUAGCCCCGUCGCUUGAGUGAGAAUUCAACGACAGACGAGUGAUAGGUCCCUGUUCCAAAAAGUUUCCCUACAGUUCGUGUGGCCAACUAGCAAUAGGCCAGCGAAAAUUUGUGACUUCUCUUUUCGAUCAAUAAUUUUGAUCUUCACAUGACCACUUAAACGAAGACUUCAAUACCUCUUAAAAUUUGAGUCACAUUACGACGUUAUCAAAAUUGGUAAACUAUCAAUAAGUUUGGUAAUAAUGCCGUUACUCUGAAAAGAAGUACCUAUCACCCAUCAACUCGGGUGAAACCAUAAUUUUCACACCAUCCAUUCCCUUUUCUGAUAACUGUGCACUGCAGAUAUUACCUUCCAAACAGUAAAUUUUUGACCAGAUUGAAAGCCAUUGGCAGAAUUCUACAUGAUGGUACCAAGUACCUACAAAUCUACCAACGGCAAUCACUGAUCAAUAUUUACUGCACUUAAACGAACAUAGAGACAGAUCACAUUCACAUGAUACUUGAAUAGGAAAAAAGCAAAGGCAAUUUUAUAAGUGCUGAGAUCUCAGCACUCGAUUGGCUAUUUUAACUAUAUUUUUUGUUCAAAAUCUAAUAAAAUAUUGUCACGUGACAUUUUAUAAAUCUAUCCGUGUAUAUAACAUUGCUCUAAACAUAUACAUAUAUUAACGCACAUUUAUAGUAAAUAGCUUUUAAUGUGAGAGCUCCAUUCAAUUUGUGGCGGUAAAUUUUCCCUGUAAAUCUAUAAUUAAAAAAAAGAUAUCUCGUCUCUUACACAGAUAAAAACCGAUUAAAAUAUAUCAUAUCUUCGUAAGAAUAUUACGGUGAUAUGAAAGAGAUAGCUUGUUGUCUACCCUCCCUUCAAUUCUAAUCUUUCUCCCACCAGAACAACCAAAAAGAAACAUUAGAAGAUAUAAAAGAGUGACCCAUAAACAGUAGAAAAAUACAAUUGUAUGCACUAUGCAUGUUUAUAUAUAGAGAGAGAGAGAAGAAGAUGAAGAUUUCGUCAAAGCCAAUAUCAAGUCCAAGCAGAGCAGAGAAAUUUUCACCGCAAUUGAUGAUGUUCUCGAGGAGCAAUGGCAGCAGCAGAAGCAGAAGCAGAAGCAGAAGUAGGUCACGUGCAAGCCCAAUCUUUUACUUUCGCAAUAAAAAGAAUGCAGAAGUGAUAGAAACAGCUCAAGAACCAUCCUCACCCAAAGUCACUUGCAUUGGUCAAGUCAGAGUUCGAAGGUCCUCUAAAACCUCGCGGCCCAAGAAAGCUGGCGGCGCCACCAACCAAACCCGCCCCUGCCGGUUGUUCAAGAAAAUUUUGUGUCGGAAUUGUACUUCAAGAUUUCACAAACCAAAGGCCUUCCGCCGGUCUUUUCUCAAAUGGGAUUUGUUUGUCCGGUCUGGAUGUUGCAGGAAAGCUGAUACCAAAGAGGAAUCUUUCGAGGUUGAACCAAUUCAGACAAGUCGUAAGGUUCAAAAUCAUGUUGGUAAUAAUUGCGAAAUUCUUGGACCUCAAUCGCAAGAAAAUGAAGUGGAUUUUCUUGGUUCCUCUAAUGAAAUUCUUGGAGCCCAAAUUCAAGAAAAUAAAAGGGAUUUUCUUGAUCCCUCUUCUUCACAUGUUGAUAAUAAUCAUGAAAUUCAUCCCCAAAUUCAAGAAAAUAAAGGAAAUUUUCUUGGUUCCUCUUCCGCACAUGUGGUUAAUAAACAUGAAAUUCUUGAAGCCCAAAUUCAAGAAAGUAAAAGAGAUUUUCUUGGUUCCCCUUCUCCACAUGUGGAUAAUAAUCAGGAACUUCUCGGAGGCCAAAUUCAAGAAAAUAAAGGAAUUUUUCUUGAUUAUUCUUCUCCACCCAAGAUCGCUUUGCUUUUGACUAGGAGCAGAUCUGCUCCCUACAGGUCUUCAUCAUUGGCCAGCAGGGUUUGGGAGUCUCCCCCAUUAGCUACACCAGAAACAGAGAGGGAAGCAAAAAUAAAGAAUGAAUUUCAAGAAUAUCAAAACCCCUGUUGUGAACAUGUGGCCUUUGAGUCAAGAAAUAGCCAUGAAGGUGAAGAAUCUGAAGGUUCAGUAAAUAAUGUUCAAAAAUUGAGUUCAACUGUGGAAGGUGUUACAGUGCAUCCUUUACUACUUACAAGGUGUAAAUCAGAACCAGCAAGAACAGGGGAAAGGCUAAUGCCAGAAGCCAAUUUGUGGAGGCAAAGAAGGUCAGGUGGUGUUAAGUUUUCUUCAUAACAUUAAUUAAUUCAUAAGGGAUUUUGUCAUUUUGUAUUUUUUUUAAAAUUUUUUUCUUUUCGAAAAAUUGUAGUAAGUAUAAUAUAGGAAAAUUGGAAGUUGGUGUUUCGAGAUAUUGUCAUUUUGAGUACUUAGUUCCUAAUAAAAUUUUCUUGAUUUUUAUAUUCUUAGGACUUGCUUGAACUCCAUUUUUUCAUUAAGAUCCAUUUUUAAACAGGAAUUUGAUCGCAUUUCAACUAUAUAUUCUUCAAUAAAAUAAUAUUACAUAUAUAUUCAAAAAAAAUUCUUAUUUUUUAACCACAUAUAAUAUUAAACUUUCAAUUUACAUACACAUAAGUUACUUUGGAAUUAAAUGAUAAAAAAUUUGUUAAAUAGUCAUAUAUCUUGCAUGUAAAUUCUAAUACCACUGC